GGAUAGCUCAGUGGUUAGAGCAUGGAUACCUGCGGGUUCGAAUCCCGCUCC
rnacentral:tRNA from 1 species